CAGAUACCCAAAGGGCAGAGAUCCAAGAACUCAUUUCAAUCUAAAUUCCUGUUGAGUUUUAAGUCUUUUCUUUUUCGCUUUUUGGAUUCAAUUCUGGUCCAAAAAUGCCUCUAGGAACUGUUGAAGUCCUACUUGUUGGUGCUAAGGGUCUUGAAAACACUGAUUUUCUCAGUAAGUUCAAAUAUAUCUCGAAAAAAUUUUUCGUUGUUUAUUUGUUUGUUGAUUAUAAAAUUGAGAUGUGGGUUUUCAAUAAUGAGAUCAUUAUGUCCAUAAUGAGUGAUGUUAAUAGAUAUUCAUAAGCCUCUCUCUCUUUUAUUUGUUCUACCUUUUUGUGUGUUGUUCUUGAUCUGUAAUUUUCUUUACAUCGACCAUUUUCCUUGUAGCUGAAUCAAUCGCUUUGGCCUACCAGUGGAAUGUUGUUUAGGUGUUUUUCCCCCCCUAAUAAUAAUAAUUCUGGAUUGAUUUUUGACGAGGUUAAAAUUCUUAUGUGAGCAGAUGGCGUGGACCCUUAUGUCGUCCUCGCUUGCCGUACCCAGGAGCAGAAAAGCAGUGUUGCUUCAGGUAUUUAUGUCUCUAAUCGCUCUGAAUUCUUAGCUGCAUUUCUAAUUUUUACUUAUCAGAUUAGAUUAGAAAAGAUCAAGUAAUAUGUUAAUACUUGCUUUGGUGUGGUAAGCACAAGAGAUUAUUGGCAAAACUAUGCCUUCAAUAUGUAUGCAAUUGGCCUUGCAGUCAAGUGGAGCGUUUGUACCCAAGAUGGAGAUCAUACCCUUCUCCUUAAAAUUUCUGUUGUGCAAAAGAAAAGUUAUACAAUUUUGUGCAAUAUUGACAAAUAUAAAAUCCUACAGGGAAAGGGAGUGAACCAGAAUGGAAUGAGAAAUUCUCAUUUGAGGUAUCAGAUGGUGACACAGAACUCACAUUGAAAAUCAUGGACAGUGAUGUUGGUGCUGCAGAUGAUUUUGUUGGAGAAGCAACCAUUCCCCUUGAGCCAUUGUUUUUGGAAGGAAACCUCCCAUCUACGGCGUACAAAGUUGUCAAAGAACAAGAAUACAAGGGAGAGAUUACAGUGGGCCUCACCUUCACCCCAGAGGUAAUUACUGUGUUUCUACCUAAGCAUAAGGAAAAGGGGAAGAGUGUAGGAUUAUUGAAGAUGAUUCAGUUGUCGAUUACUUUACUCCAAGUUAGCAAAUCAUGUUAAGUCACUUCUUCUUAGUUUAUGUCUUCGUGGACAAACAUUGAAUCGAUAGAUAAAUAUAGUUUUUCUAGUUUUUCCAGGCCGUAAUGAUAAUAGUGUUGUUUCUUAUUCCUCAUUCUAGUAUUGUGAAAACCGUGGUUUCCAGGUAGAGAUGGACAACGUCGGAGUGGAUGGAUACGAUUUUCGGUUAUAAUAUUAACUAGCAUCUUGGUGUGGAAAUGGCAAGGACUGCUUUUGGUUUGGAGAUGGCAAAGAGACUCUGUUUUUAACGUCGAUGUGUUGUGAGAACUUGUUUUGAUGUUGCAAAUAAUACCGAUGUGUUUUAAGAACCUUUUGGUGUUGAUUGAUUUGGAUUUGUGUUUGGCAUUAAUAAUAGUAAUUGUUUUUUUUUUUUUA
rnacentral:misc_RNA from 1 species